rnacentral:tRNA from 1 species
AGUAAAAUGGCUGAGAUUAAUAGGCGAUAAAUUGUAAAUUUAUAGAUGAAUUUAAAAAUUCUUUUACUAU